rnacentral:pre_miRNA from 1 species
AAUAGAUGACAUUGUUGACUUAUUCUUACAUGUUUGACCAUUCAUCUUAUUCAAAAAAUUUACGUAAUUAUAAUUUAUUUUGUUAUGAGUUGUUUUACCACUCAUAGUACUUUAAGUGUGAUUUAUAUCUUAUACAUUUGCAUAAAAUUUUUGAAUAAGACCAAUGGUUAAACAUGUAAGAAAAAGUCAACGGCGUCAUCUAUU